rnacentral:rRNA from 1 species
AACGAACGCUGGCAGCAGGCCUAACACAUGCAAGUCGAACGCUGUAGCAAUACAGAGUGGCAGACGGGUGAGUAACGCGUGGGAACCUUCCCAAUGGUGCGGAAUAGCCCAGGGAAACUUGGGGUAAUACCGCAUAAGCCCUUAGGGGGAAAGAUUUAUCGCCAUUGGAUGGGCCCGCGUCGGAUUAGCUAGUUGGUGAGGUAAUGGCUCACCAAGGCAACGAUCCGUAGCUGGUUUGAGAGAAUGACCAGCCACACUGGGACUGAGACACAGCCCAGACUCCUACGGGAGGCAGCAGUGGGGAAUCUUGGACAAUGGGCGCAAGCCUGAUCCAGCCAUGCCGCGUGAGUAACGAAGGCCUUAGGGUUGUAAAGCUCUUUUGCCGGGGACGAUAAUGACGGUACCCGGAGAAUAAGUCCCGGCUAACUUCGUGCCAGCCGCCGCAGUAA